AUUGAACGCUGGCGGCAUGCCUAACACAUGCAAGUCGCACGCGAAAGGGGGCAACCCUGAGUAGAGUGGCGGACGGGUGAGUAACGCGUAGGAAUCUACCUGGUAGUGGGGGACAACCCGGUGAAAACCGGGCUAAUACCGCAUACGAUCCACGGAUGAAAGCAGGGGACCGCAAGGCCUUGCGCUAUCAGAUGAGCCUGCGUCGGAUUAGCUAGUUGGUGGGGUAAAGGCCCACCAAGGCGACGAUCCGUAGCUGGUUUGAGAGAACGACCAGCCACACUGGGACUGAGCCACGGCCCAGACUCCUACGGGAGGCGGCAGUGGGGAAUAUUGGACAAUGGGGGCAACCCUGAUCCGGCAAUGCCGCGUGUGUGAAGAAGGCCUUCGGGUUGUAAAGCACUUUCGGUGGGGACAAACAAGGUGGAGCUAACAUCUCCGCCUCUGAUGGUACCCAAAGAAGAAGCACCGGCUAACUCUGUGCCAGCCGCCGCCGUAA
rnacentral:rRNA from 1 species